AUUGAACGCUGGCGGCAGGCCUAACACAUGCAAGUCGAACGAGUGGCGGACGGGUGAGUAAUGUCUGGGAAACUGCCUGGUGGAGGGGGAUAACUACUGGAAACGGUAGCUAAUACCGCAUACCAUCAGAUGUGCCCAGAUGGGAUUACCUUGUUGGUGGGGUAACGUAUCACCAAUGCGACGAUCCCUAGCUGGUCUGAGAGGAUGACCCGCAAAACUGGAACUGAGACACGGUCAAGACUCCUACGGAAGGCAGCAGUGGUGAAUAUUGCACAAUGGGCGCAAGCCUGAUGCAGCCAUGCCGCGUGUAUGAAGAAGGCCUUCUGGUUGUAAAGUACUUUCAGCGGGGAGGCGUUACCCGCAGAAGAAGCACCGGCUAACUCCGUGCCAGCAGCCGCGGUAAUUC
rnacentral:rRNA from 1 species